rnacentral:tRNA from 1 species
GAGAAUUUAGUUAAUUUAAUAACAUUAGAUUGUCAAGCUAAAAUAAUCAAAUUAUUGAUAUUUCUCU